rnacentral:rRNA from 1 species
CGGCCGCCGAUUCAAUCCCGCCGCGGUGCUCUUAACUGAGUGUCGAGGUGGGCCGGCAAAUUUACUUUGAACAAAUUAGAGUGCUUAAAGCAGGCUGAUUUCCGCCUGAAUACUGUGUGCAUGGAAUAAUGGAAUAGGACUUCGGUUCUAUUUUAUUGGUUUUAAGAAACCGAAGUAAUGAUUAAUAGGGACAGGCGGGGGCAUUCGUAUUGCGACGUUAGAGGUGAAAUUCUUGGAUCGUCGCAAGACGUACCUAAGCGAAAGCAUUUGCCAAGUAUGUCCUCGUUAAUCAAGAACGAAAGUUAGAGGUUCGAAGGCGAUCAGAUACCGCCCUAGUUCUAACCAUAAACGAUGCCAGCCAGCGAUCCGCCAAUGUUCCUCCGAUGACUUGGCGGGCAGCUUCCGGGAAACCAAAGCUUUUGGGUUCCGGGGGAAGUAUGGUUGCAAAGCUGAAACUUAAAGGAAUUGACGGAAGGGCACCACCAGGAGUGGAGCCUGCGGCUUAAUUUGACUCAACACGGGAAACCUCACCAGGCCAGGACACUGGAAGGAUUGACAGAUUGAUAGCUCUUUCUUGAUUCAGUG